rnacentral:tRNA from 1 species
AGUUAAUGAACUUGAAUAAGUGUAUAUUUUGAAAAUAUAAAAUAGGGUUUAACCCCUAUUAACUU